UAAACUUCUCGGCCUUUUGGCUAAGAUCAGAGUCAUAGUAUCUGUUCUUAUCAGUUUAAUAUCUGAUAAAGUCCCCUAUCCUGGCAUAUAUUAAGUGAUUUUGGAACAGGGAGAUGGAAUAGGGGCUUGCUCCGUCCACUCCCGCAUGCGACCUGGUAUUUACGAGGUACUUCCAGGAGCGGUGCACUUUUC